rnacentral:hammerhead_ribozyme from 1 species
AUCCAACUGACGAGUCUCAAAUAGGACGAAACACGCGUCCUCGAU